rnacentral:rRNA from 1 species
AGUGAACCAGUACCGUGAGGGAAAGGCGAAAAGAACCCCGGCGAGGGGAGUGAAAAAGAACCUGAAACCGUGUACGUACAAGCAGUGGGAGCACCCUUUGGGGUGUGACUGCGUACCUUUUGUAUAAUGGGUCAGCGACUUAUAUUCUGUAGCAAGGUUAACCGUAUAGGGGAGCCGGAGGGAAACCGAGUCUUAAUUGGGCGUUAAGUUGCAGGGUAUAGACCCGAAACCCGGUGAUCUAGCCAUGGGCAGGUUGAAGGUUGGGUAACACUAACUGGAGGACCGAACCGACUAAUGUUGAAAAAUUAGCGGAUGACCUGUGGCUGGGGGUGAAAGGCCAAUCAAACCGGGAGAUAGCUGGUUCUCCCCGAAAGCUAUUUAGGUAGCGCCUCGUGAAUUCAUCUCCGGGGGUAGAGCACUGUUUCGGCUAGGGGGCCAUCCCGGCUUACCAACCCGAUGCAAACUGCGAAUACCGGAGAAUGUUAUCACGGGAGACACACGGCGGGUGCUAACGUCCGUCGUGAAGAGGGAAACAACCCAGACCGCCAGCUAAGGUCCCAAAGUCAUGGUUAAGUGGGAAACGAUGUGGGAAGGCCCAGACAGCCAGGAUGUUGGCUUAGAAGCAGCCAUCAUUUAAAGAAAGCGUAAUAGCUCACUGGUCGAGUCGGCCUGCGCGGAAGAUGUAACGGGGCUAAACCAUGCACCGAAGCUGCGGCAGCGA